UACGUAGGGGGCAAGCGUUGUCCGGAAUCAUUGGGCGUAAAGAGCGCGUAGGCGGCCCGGUAAGUCCGCUGUGAAAGUCAAGGGCUUAACCCUUGAAUGCCGGUGGAUACUGUCGGGCUUGAGUACGGAAGAGGCGAGUGGAAUUCCUGGUGUAGCGGUGAAAUGCGCAGAUAUCAGGAGGAACACCAAUUGCGAAGGCAGCUCGCUGGGACGUUACUGACGCUGAGACGCGAAAGCGUGGGGAGCAAACAGG
rnacentral:rRNA from 1 species